rnacentral:tRNA from 1 species
GGAGUUAUGGCUCAGUGGUAGAGUGCUUGCCUAGCAUGCGUGAGGCACUGGAUUCAAUCCUUAGCACCA